rnacentral:rRNA from 1 species
GACGAACCGAGCGAACGUUGUUCGGAAUUACUGGGCGUAAAGGGCGCGUAGGCGGCCUUGUAAGUCCUGUGUGAAAUCCCCCGGCUCAACUGGGGAACUGCACAGGAGACUGCUUGGCUUGAGUUCGGGAGAGGGAAGCGGAAUUCCGGGUGUAGCGGUGAAAUGCGUAGAUAUCCGGAGGAACACCGGUGGCGAAGGCGGCUUCCUGGACCGACACUGACGCUGAGGCGCGAAAGCCAGGGGAGCAAACGGG